GCAGGGAAUUUUGCGCAGUGGGCGAAAGCCUGACGCAGCAACGCCGCGUGGGGGAUGAAGGCCUUCGGGUUGUAAACCCCUUUCAGGAGGGAAGAAAUUGACGGUACCUCCAGAAGAAGCACCGGCCAACUACGUGCCAGCAGCCGCGGUAAUACGUAGGGUGCGAGCGUUAUCCGGAAUCAUUGGGCGUAAAGAGCUCGUAGGCGGUUCAACAAGUCGGCUGUGAAAGUCCGGGGCUCAACCCCGGAAUUGCAGUCGAUACUGUUGUGACUUGAGUCCGGUAGAGGAGAAUGGAAUUCCCGGUGUAGCGGUGGAAUGCGCAGAUAUCGGGAGGAACACCAGUAGCGAAGGCGGUUCUCUGGGCCGGCACUGACGCUGAGGAGCGAAAGCGUGGGGAGCAA
rnacentral:rRNA from 1 species